rnacentral:lncRNA from 1 species
AUCUUCACAAGAUAAGAGAAAAGGGGAAAGGGAAUAGCUACCCUCCCAGUGGUUAGAUCAAUAUGAGACUGGAUAGUGUCCCACCGAAAUUCAUAUGUUGAUGCAGUAACCCCUAAUGUGACUAUAUUUGGAGAUAGGACCUAUAAGGAAGUAAUUAAGGUUAAAGGUUCAAUGAGUCAUAAGGGUGGGGAACUCACCUGAUAGGAUUAGUGUCCUUAUAAGAAGAGACAUCAGAAAGCUCAUUCUCUCUCUCUCUCUCAUAAGCCAGGAGGAGAGUCCUCACCAGGAACUGUCCCUGCUGGGCCUUGAUCUGGGACUUCCAGCCUCUAGAACUGUGAGAAAAUAAACAUCUGUUGUUUAAGCCCCCAAUCUAUGGUGUUUUGUUAUGGCAGCCCAAGCAGACUAAUACAGCUAAGACAGAUAUCAUUCAGUCUUAGUUGUUACUUUGUUCUUGGCACCUAGCCCAGUACCUGCACUUGGCACAUGCUAGCUGCUCUGAAUGAAUAGGAAGGUAGCAAAGCUGUGCUCUUUACCACUCUGCACAUGCCUUGUCCCAAGGUCCAAGCCCAGGCCUUCCAUGUACCCCUGUUCUAGGUUUACACCUCUUCCCUGAACCUGGCAUUCUACUCAGGACUCUGGUUGUUAUAGUCUGACUCAGCCCAUUGCUGGGUCAGCUAUUCGCUCCUGCUUAAAGCUACUGGAUGUCAAAACACACUACACAAGAGCCAGUGAUCACAAGUAACUCAAAGAUUCAUUACUAUAUGUUUGUCCCCAGAACCAGGCAUGUGCUCAUACUUUCCUUCCUUCCUUUCUUUCAGACGGAGUUUCGCUCUUGUUGCCCAGGCUGGAGUGCAAUGGUGCGAUCUCGACUCACUGCAACCUCCACCUCCCGGGUUCAAGCAAUUCUCCUGCCUCAGCCUCCUGAGUAGCUGGGAUUACAGGCAUGCACCACCACGCCCGGCUAAUUUUGUAUUUUUAGUAGAGACGGGAUUUCUCCAUGUUGGUCAGGCUGGUCUCAAAGUUCUGACCUCAGGUGAUCCACCCAACUCGUCCUCCCAAAGUGCUGGGAUUACAGGCAUGAGCCACCAGGCCGGCCCAUUCUCUCUCUUUCUUCCUGUGCCUAAACAUCAGAGAGCCCUCUUGCCCGAGGGCCCUUUCCCCCAGGGAUUUUCCUUUUUCCUCGCUUUGUCUAUCUUCCAGGGUGGGGAGGGGGUUGUGGGAAAAGAAAGAAAGACAGAACCAGUUCCUGAGGAUAUGUAUAAAGAACAGGAGCCUGCCUGCAGGAUUUUCAAAUAAUGUCAGAGGCUAAUUUCAGGCUAUUAUCGUGCUGUGGAUAAUUAGAGAUCAAAAGAAGCAGGGCAGGUUGCCUCAUAAGGGAAUUAAUGGGCAUAGUGAGUACAGCUGGUGCUUCUGAUGGUUUUUUUUGACCUGGCAGAUGUAAAUAGUUUUGUCAAAUGUCAUUUUGCUAAGAGUGACUUGGCUCAUUUUGCUAAGAGGUGCUAAGAGUUUGGCUCCAUUUUUCCACAAUUCACUCCCUGACAUUUGGUUCAUUGUGCCAGGACUCUUUUAAAUAUACUUACAUGCAGGUGGUGCUGGUUGUCCAGACCCAGCUCAGUAUGAAACAUCCACCUGCUAGCAAGAGGGACCCUGGAACAAGGUGUACGGCCAAUCAUCCAAGGCUGCAGGGGAUACCCAGGAGAAAAGGUCCCUGGGAGUUCAG